rnacentral:misc_RNA from 1 species
AAUAAAUAAAUAAAUAAAUAAAGACAAAUCUAACGACUUGGGAUCUCCGUAAAUGCAUAGAAAUUGUUAAUUUUUAAUUAUUACAAUUUACAUACAAUGGAAGACAUAGCUAAAAAAGAAAGAGAGAAAGACAGUUUUGAACAUCUUAGUAUGGAAAAGCUUAUGAAUUACAAGUGUUGGCACACUAUGCAUAUCCCUGAAUUAUAAAAAUUCAUACAUCUAAGAUAUUGCAGGCACUCAAAAAUAGCACACCACAUGUUAGUGUAAAUCUGCAAAGUUAAAUAUCCUCCCCCCAACCCGGCCCCUCAUCCCGAAAGAAAAAUAAAAUAAUAAAAACGCAAAAUAAUGACAUUCAACCAGGAAAAUUUUCAUAGUUAAGUUGAGGUCACCCAUAUGAACUGAUAGGGACUUUAUCUUAUGCUAAAAGCAUAAGCUUUCUCCUAAUAUCAGACCAUGUAAGGAACAGUGACUAUAACCUUCUACCGGAUCCUGCACUUUAUCAUUAAAGCUUAAAGCAAGUUCCAUCGCUCGCCCUGGAAGUUGAAUCAAGUUAACAUGUGAUUGAGGAAACAAUCCAACUUGACCAAAGAAGUCCAGCAUUAAGCACAAUUAAAAUUUUACGAGUUUUGGUUGCAUUCAAGCCCCCAAAAAGAAAUUGGGGGGCUGAAAAAAUGGAAUAUUCGUAGAUUGAAAAUAGAAGAACAUACUGUAGUAAGAAUUUCUCAGAAGAAGUAAGGAAACCUGAAAAAUUAGACCGGCAAGAAU